UACAAGUCCCAUAAUGCAGUGCGGCAGGCCGCGCGCGCUGCUCCCUGGGAAUGUGUAGUGGCGGGUCUCCGAGGAGGGUCCCGCGGGCUAAUCAGCCUGCCUGUCUCCGCAAAUUGUCAGCUUUUAUACAAGUGGAAGUGAGAGAGGACUGGGAAGCCAGGAGCUGCCCUGGGGGGCAGUCAGAAGCCUCCUGACCUGUGGUUCCUCGGACUUCCUCCUAGAGCAAAACCGAUAAUCAGUCUUAACGGUUCCACAUUAUUUCAAGAGAGAAGAACCAUAAGGAAGGAGAAGAAAGAAUGAAAAGCCACCUUGGGGAGACUGCUCGGUGGUGCUGUCACACAGGUGCCAACAAGGUCCUGGGCUCACCCGACACAGAAAUGGCCACCACACUAAACAGAACCAUCUGCGUGAGGUUUCCAGCCUCCCCAAUUCCGUCACUGAGUGAGACACCCGCCUCAACUAGGUGUAAACUGAGAGGAUUCGGUUCUGGAACCAACACACUUAACUACAUCAGUUACGUCUUCCCGAGCACGGUAGAAUUCAGUAGCAUGAGAAAAGCAACAAAGGUGGGGAAACUGAACUACAGUCCCAGUCUCAGGUCUGACUACCACAUUUGGUGCGUGUUAGUUCCAGAUGCUAACAUGAUGCCAACUGGACUUCCAUGGACAGAUGACCCUACCAAGAUGUCCUGGAGAGUCCGCUUCCCCAGAACUCUGUCCCACUAGGGAAAGAGAGAGAGAGGCUGGGAGUAUGGCUCAACCUGUCAACACCCAUGAUCAGCAGGGAAGCAAUUACACAAGCCUUACCUCCCACCUUCUGCAUCCCACAAUGACCCUGGGUCCAUACUCCCAGAGGGAUAAAGAAUAGGAAAGAUAUCAGGGGAUGGGAUGGGAUACAGAGUUCUGGUGGUGGGAGUUGUGUGGAUUUGUACUCCUCUUAUCCUAUGUGUGCUUAACCCGCUGUGCUACCACCCGACCCCCAAAAUAAUUUUCUAUCUCUUCUUCUUUUUCUCCUCUUCCUCUUCUUCCUCCUUCCACUCUCUCUCCCACUUCUCUCAUCAGUGGGGUUUUACUGCUCUUGGCUGGCUUUUUCAGAUGGGGAGAGGGAGAGAGAGGAGACCACAUCGCACAGUGCAGUGGGACCUGGCUCGAGCCUGGGUGAGGCACCUAGCAAAGGUGAACUGUCUGACUGGGUUGAGAUUACUUUUAUGCAGCAUAAACUAUCCAUCUUUGAAUUUCCUCCUCAACUGCUCAAAUGGAACAACCUUUCUGAGCAAGCUGAGUACAGAACGUGUAUGCAUGCGACCCCAGAGUUUCUCUCAUCCUCAUCAUCCAUGCCAGAGCUGAAUGCUGGUUGUACCUCUCUCUAAUAAAAAUAAAUGGACAGAUGACAACAAUGACUUAGAAAGGGGGUCAGAGAGACAGAUCAUUCAAGGACUUGUAAGCAUGAGCCUGAGCUUGGUCCCCCGCUGGUGCUCUGGUACCAGUGUGAUGCUCUGGCUGCUCCCUCCCCCAUGUUAAUAUAUAUUCUUUUAACUUUAGAGUUUCAUUGAGUAAAGUGUCACCAAAGGUCUGUGUUCCCGCCCCCACCCUCAUAGAUAACCACUACACCUCUCCCACAGUCUUGGAAAUAGGUUGACACUUUGUUUACUUCACAUUCAUAUGUUCAGUUCUCUGUGUUCCACAUAUGAGUGAAGCCAUUCUGUCGUCCUUCCCUCCUGACUUGCUUCAUCAUCUUCUCCAAUUCCAGCCACAUUAUCCCAAAGGACACAAUAUCAUCUUUUUUAUAGCUGAAUAAUACUCCACUGAGUUUAUAUCCCAUAACUGUUUUAUCCAAUCAUCUGUCAAAUGGCAUUUUGGUUGUUUCCAGGGUUUUGCUUCUGUGAAUAAAGCUGUUGUGAACACAGGGGCUGCGCGUGCCCCUUCGAAUCAGUUACAUCAUCUGGGGAAAUGCCUAGGAGUGGGCCUGCUGGGUCACAGGGCCUUCCCAUCUGUAUUUGCUUAUGGACUCUCCCUCCUGUUCUCCACGGUGGCUGCACUCAUCUGCCCUCCCACCAGCAGUGCAGCGGAGUUGCUGUCUCUCCACGUCCUCCCCAGCACUGAGCUGCUCUUGUUUUACUCAUGGAGCCCAUGCUCACAGGUGUGAGGUGGGAUAUCGGCAUGGUUGUAAUUUGCGUUUCUCUGGUGAUGAGUGGUUUCCACAUAUGUCUAUGGUCCAUGUGUAUCUGUUCUUUAGAAAACCAUCUAUUCAUAUUUUCUGCCCACUUUUUUUUUUGUUGUUGCUUCUGGGGUUAUCACUAGGGCUUGGUGCUCACACUAUGAAUCCAUUGCUCCUGGUGGCCAUUUUUCCCCAUAUUAUUGGAUAGGACAGAGAGAAAUUGAGAAAGAUGGGGGGGGGGAGAGGGAGAGAGAGAGA